AUUGAACGCUGGCGGAAUGCUUUACACAUGCAAGUCGAACGGCAGCACGGGUGCUUGCACCAGGUGGCGAGUGGCGGACGGGUGAGUAAUGCAUCGGAACGUGCCGUAUAGUGGGGGAUAACGCAUCGAAAGGUGUGCUAAUACCGCAUACGCCCUGAGGGGGAAAGUGGGGGACCGUAAGGCCUCACGCUAUACGAGCGGCCGAUGUCCGAUUAGCUAGUUGGUGGGGUAAAGGCUCACCAAGGCGACGAUCGGUAGCUGGUCUGAGAGGACGACCAGACACACUGGGACUGAGACACGGCCCAGACUCCUACGGGAGGCAGCAGUGGGGAAUUUUGGACAAUGGGGGCAACCCUGAUCCAGCCAUUCCGCGUGAGUGAAGAAGGCCUUCGGGUUGUAAAGCUCUUUUGUCAGGGAGGAAAUCCUUAGCGUUAAUACCGCUGGGGGAUGACAGUACCUGAAGAAUAAGGACCGGCUAACUACGUGCCAGCCGCCGCCGUAA
rnacentral:rRNA from 1 species